UACAGAGGGUGCAAGCGUUGUCCGGAAUCACUGGGCGUAAAGGGCGCGUAGGCGGCGCGGGAAGUCAUCGGUGAAAGUUCAGGGCUCAACUCUGAAUCGGCCGGUGAUACUCUCGUGCUCGAGCACUGUAGAGGCAGGUGGAAUCCGGGUGUAGCGGUGGAAUGCGUAGAGAUCCGGAAGAACACCGGUGGCGAAGGCGGCCUGCUGGGCAGUAGCUGACACUGAGGCGCGACAGCGUGGGGAGCAAACAGG
rnacentral:rRNA from 1 species